rnacentral:rRNA from 1 species
AACGAACGCUGGCGGCAUGCCUAACACAUGCAAGUCGAACGAGACCUCCGGGUGUAGUGGCUCACGGGUGCGUCACGCGUGGGAACCUGCCCUUAGGCUCGGAAUAACUCCCCGAAAGGGGUGCUAAUACCGGAUAAUUUCUUCUGACCAAAGAUUUAUCGCCUUUGGAUGGGCCCGCGUUGGAUUCGCUAGUUGGUAGGGUAAAAGCCUACCAAGGCGACGAUCCAUAGCUGGUCUGAGAGGAUGAUCAGCCACACUGGGACUGAGACACGGCCGAGACUCCUACGGGAGGCAGCAGUGGGGAAUAUAGGACAAUGGGCGAAAGCCUGAUCCAGCAAUGCCGCGAGAGUGAUGAAGGCCUUAGAGAUGUAAAGCUCUUUUACCCGGGAUGAUAAUGACAGUACCGGGAGAAUAAGCUCCGGCUAACUCCGUG